rnacentral:rRNA from 1 species
UACGAAGGGGGCUAGCGUUGUUCGGAAUUACUGGGCGUAAAGAGCGCGCAGGCGGUCGUUCAAGUCGCGUGUGAAAGCCCCCGGCUCAACUGGGGAGGGUCACGCGAUACUGAUCGACUCGAAGGCAGGAGAGGGAAGUGGAAUUCCCGGUGUAGUGGUGAAAUGCGUAGAUAUCGGGAGGAACACCAGUGGCGAAGGCGACUUCCUGGCCUGUUCUUGACGCUGAGGCGCGAAAGCUAGGGGGGCAAACGGG